rnacentral:rRNA from 1 species
GGACGUGCGGCGUGCUAAUACAUGCAAGUCGAGCGGACAGAUGGGAGCUUGCUCCCUGAUGUUAGCGGCGGACGGGUGAGUAACACGUGGGUAACCUGCCUGUAAGACUGGGAUAACUCCGGGAAACCGGGGCUAAUACCGGAUGGUUGUUUGAACCGCAUGGUUCAAACAUAAAAGGUGGCUUCGGCUACCACUUACAGAUGGACCCGCGGCGCAUUAGCUAGUUGGUGAGGUAACGGCUCACCAAGGCAACGAUGCGUAGCCGACCUGAGAGGGUGAUCGGCCACACUGGGACUGAGACACGGCCCAGACUCCUACGGGAGGCAGCAGUAGGGAAUCUUCCGCAAUGGACGAAAGUCUGACGGAGCAACGCCGCGUGAGUGAUGAAGGUUUUCGGAUCGUAAAGCUCUGUUGUUAGGGAAGAACAAGUACCGUUCGAAUAGGGCGGUACCUUGACGGUACCUAACCAGAAAGCCACGGCUAACUACGUGCCAGCAGCCGCGGUAAUACGUAGGUGGCAAGCGUUGUCCGGAAUUAUUGGGCGUAAAGGGCUCGCAGGCGGUUUCUUAAGUCUGAUGUGAAAGCCCCCGGCUCAACCGGGGAGGGUCAUUGGAAACUGGGGAACUUGAGUGCAGAAGAGGAGAGUGGAAUUCCACGUGUAGCGGUGAAAUGCGUAGAGAUGUGGAGGAACACCAGUGGCGAAGGCGACUCUCUGGUCUGUAACUGACGCUGAGGAGCGAAAGCGUGGGGAGCGAACAGGAUUAGAACCGG